GACGAACCGUGCGACCGUUAUUCGGAAUCACUGGGCUUAAAGGGAGCGUAGGCGGGCUAUCAAGUCUGGGGUGAAAUCCCGCGGCUCAACCGCGGAACUGCCUCAGAUACUGACGGCCUCGAGGGGGAUAGGGGCAUGCGGAACUGUAGGUGGAGCGGUGAAAUGCGUUGAUAUCUACAGGAACUCCGGUGGCGAAAGCGGCGUGCUGGAUCCCUUCUGACGCUGAGGCUCGAAAGCUAGGGGAGCAAACGGG
rnacentral:rRNA from 1 species